rnacentral:misc_RNA from 1 species
GGGAACGGAGAGGGCUGAUGGAGAAAGAGAUAGGGAUUUCCAAUCUAAGCGGCCGAAGGUUCUCGCUUACACUGAGCCAUACGACACGGCCUCAUCUAAUUCAGGCCCUGAAGCAUCUGGUCCACCUACCGGACUGGACAUCAAUUCUCAAGGUUCAUCAGUUAGAACCGAUCACGAGAUGAUCAUUUGCCCCACCUCAAAU